UCAUUUUUUUCCAUUUUUCUUCUCCUUCCCAUGACCAACAAUGAAACCCCACUUCUCCAUCUUUUCUCUUUUACACCAAAUUUCUUCAAAUUUCCACAUUCAAUCAAUUACCCAUCUUCUCCCCAUACAUUUUCAAAGUAGAAUUUGAAGAAAGAAAGAAAUCAAAGAGAAAAUUCAAGGUUGGUGGAGAGUGAAUAGUAACCAAGGGUUCAGAAUUUAGAGAAGAAGUGGAAGGGAGGAGUGAAAACUCUAAAGGGAAAGGAAAUGAAGAAUAGAAAUUUUAAGGUUGUGGAUCCGAGUAGCUGUAGAUCAAGAUCUGCAUCAACCCAUCCAGAGUUACAUCAUUAUCUAUCUUAGGGAUGACUGAAGAACAGAGAGAAUUUUAAGUCGGAGAAGAGGUAGAAAGUCAUGUACCGACUGAGGCCAUUGGCCAUGUACCACCACAGGCUCCUCCUGGUGCUAGAAGGCCAGAGCAGGAGGUCUUGUUACAGCAAAUAGCAGAGAUUUUCAGGCAGGUGGCUGGAGUAGCUCAGCCAAUUAUAGUUCCACCACCGGCUCCUGCACCAGCACCAGCUAGACCACCUAUUGAUAAACUGAGAAAGUAUUGUGCUACAGAAUUUAAGGGACGAAAGGAAGAUGAUGCAUCCGCAGCAGAAUAUUGGUUGCAAAGUACAGACAGGGUGCUUCAACAGCUACAGUGUUCCCCAGAAGAUAGUCUAGUAUGUGCAGUGUCACUACUGAAAGAAGAAGCCUACCAAUGGUGGGACACUAUGGUACAGACAGUGCAACCAAUAA